GCAGGGACAAAUUUGGUCCAUUUUUAACAUGAACUUUCAACAACACACUGAUAAAUCCGAUCUUUACUACUGUACAGGCUGAAGCAUCAGACGCCAUAUCAUCAAGUACUACUAAAACCAACAAAUCAUAAUCUUUAAGAUCAAUGGUGUCUAAACUAAGAACAUCAAAGGGCAUACAACACGAUCAAAUCAUAGUUUAAACAUCAUAUGUCAAACACAGGCAUGCAUCAGCAUGUACCAACAACACCUAGGGUGCAACACAAACAUCACUUAAAUUCGGUUUCUGCUUCCCAGCAUAGUUUCAGUUUCGCAACGACGCUGACACACAUGCAUCACUUCAGUUCCAUCGCAUCCCUGAAAGCAGCAAGUCAAUCAGAACAUUAGACAUACCAGUCAAACAAUUCACAACUACAAGAGUACUUCAAAUACUUUCGCAAGAAAGAAAAGGAACAGGGGGGAAAUAUGGCAUGGAGUCUGUUUCUUAUACUUCAUGAUCUGAAACAGAUGGACUCGCUCUCCUUUGUCAAAAAGUAUAACAAAAUUUAUAUGUGAUGUACUUGAGCCAGAUUUAACUUGAUGCAAACAGAGAAAAGCAAGCUCUAUCAUUAGGUCACAUAGAUAUCUCACAUCAAGUACUAGCACUGAAAACUCACGACUAAAAAUUUAUACGUACAGACCAUAUAUACACUGCAGAGAAAGGUUGACAGAAACUCUUUGCAUAUACACUGCAGAUCAUAUAUAUGUACAGAUCAAAACUAAAAAUUUAUAUGCACAAAACAUAUAUACAACUAAAAAAUUUGAUUUAGUAUGAUUGUUCACUACCAAAGUGUAUCUAUUUCUCUAACAAAAACACUACAAUUACUUUCUUGCUGAUUGCCCAACAGUAUGGUUCAGUUUCUUCCUGUUAUUUGCCCUUUAUUCAAAUUAGUAUGCAGACAAAGCAUUCAUUCACAAGAAAAACAUGUUUGUUCCAAGCUAAUCAGGAACAUGAGCUUAUGUAUAUUCUCAGUUCGGAGAUGAGAAAUUGAUUUCUAGCUAAUCAGGAAUAGGAGCUUAAGAACAAGACCAAGCAAGCAAGAACAUUAUGAACCAGAUCAAAAUACCUCUUCUAGGUAGGCAACUCAUCCAUUUCGCUCCGAAGCCACAUGACCGCACUCUCUUCUUGAAGUUUGAUGAACAUGUAAGAUAAGAAAGAGCUCGCUAUUACAUUAUAACAAAGAGCAUCAUAAAUGUUUGUUCUAAGCUAAUCAGGAAUAAGAACUUAAGUAUAUUCUUAGUUCAGACAUGUGCAUGCAUAUGCUCAGUUAGCAACCACAUAAAUAUACUACAACUAGUCAUCUCAGAUGAGAAAUUGAUUUCCAGCUCUUGUCUGCAUGUAUUUUACUCAUCUUAGCAAAUCACACCAGUAACAGUUAACUUCGACCAGUUUUGAAUUUCAUCAACAUCUAACACAAGACAUUGCCUGCUAUAUUUUUAGCACACAGUGUCAAAAUUAAUCAGACUGAUGAUAUACCAAUGAAACUUAUGUGCAGCAAAAUGAUUCUCUCCUCACAUUUCUGCACUACAUCCAAUUAUCAAUAUCUAAUACAAAAUGGUUGGCUGUAUUUUGUUACUUUGUUAUCAGAUAUGUACUAUAUGCUAAUAAUAAUGGGAUUUUUUUUACUAUGGAGUAUAAAAUCAGUACCGGAAGGUAGAGAUCCUACUUGAGCAUCUACAUGUAUAAUUUUAAGGCACACAUAAAUGACAUCAAAAAAGGGUUGGAGUUGUCUUGAAUAGUAGUCCAGAUCUAGCAGCAACUAACUUCAAAUAGGGGGAGGACGAAUGUGAUUGGGAAGCAGGCAGAGGAACAACAGGGAGGGCCUCUCACAGCGGUGGUACUGGAAAGGGGAGAGGAGCGUGGCUAUCAGGGACGGUGUGCUUGGCGAGCUCGCAGGGGAGGACGAGGCGAACGGCGGAUCGGCGGCGGCCAUAUUGAGAAACCCUAGAUGAAGAUGGAGGGGGGGGGGGUGCCUCGAGGGAGAAGGCCAACUUUCCCUAGGAAGAAGAGGAAGCAGGCAUCCGACGGAGUUAGCAGCGACGGCGGCGGCUGCGCGCGGUUCUGGCCGUCUCUUGUGACCGCGGCCGCGUCUCGUCUCUCUUUCGCACGAGGCGUGUGAGCCGCGAGGUACCCCUCGAUGCUAGGAAGCCCCAUGGAUCGGGGAGGAACGGAUGGGAUAUUCGGGGCUGACCCGGUUGGAGCCCAGUGCGCCAAACGGUACUCUUGGGCUUUUAGGGUCUUUUAAGCCCGACGGGGAAAAUCCACUAAAAACCCCUUUGAUCCCGGUGUCCCAAACAAGGCCUCAGCACGAAUGGGUUUUCAAGUCUGAAAGUGCAACUAUCCCUGGGUGGUUUUGGUAAUUCGUAACAACAUAUAGCUCAUUGAGCUAAUGCUAUUUUAAAAUAAAUAUUUCAGGGAAGCUCAAUGAUUGGCAUGGCAUGGAUUAGAAAAUAAACCCCUCAAAAUGCUAAGGACAAAAGAUUGGUUCAAGCUCAAAGCACAAGACUCUACAUUUUAUUUUUAGUGAUCCAAGAUCACAUUAAGUCCAUAGGAAAAGACAACACUAUUAGAAGGGGGUGAGGUGUUGCUUAAUGAGUUACUUACUCGAAAUGCUUAGUGAUAUGCUUCAAAAAUCCUCAAUUACUUUCUCAUAUCCACAUAUGUCCCAAACCAAAAAUCAAACUCGGCCCCACCAAAAUCUUUUAUCCGGCGCCACCGAGCUCACUUGACAUAGCCACUGCCACAAACCCUAGUCACUUCGGUCUCACCGAUAGGGAUUUCGGUCUCACCGAGAUGGGAUUGCAACCUCUCUGUUUCUCUUUGUAACGUUUCGGUCCAACCAAGAUGAGCGAUCGGUCCCACCGAGAUUGCAAUGCAAACUCUCUGUUUCCCCUUCGUAACGUUUUGGUCUAACCGAGACGAGCGAAUCAGUCCCACCGAGUUUGCCUGACCAACUCUCUGUUUGUCUAUUACCAAAAUCGGUCCCACCGAGUUUGUGUAAUCGGUCUCACCAAGAUUACGUUAUGCCCUAACCCUAAUAGAAUCAGUCCCACCGAGUUGACAUGUCGGUCCCACCAAAAACCUUAACGCUCACAUUUUGAACUAAAUCGGUCUGACCGAGUUUUAUAAUUCAGUCCAACCGAGUUUGGUGAUUUGUGUGUAACGGUUAGAUUUUGUGUGGACGCUAUAUAUACCCCUCCACCCACUCUUCAUUCGUGGAGAGAGCCAUCAGAACAUGCCUACACUUCUAACAUACAUUUUCUGAGAGAGAACCAUCUACACUUGUGUUGAGGUCAAGAUAUUCCAUUCCAACCACAUAAAUCUUGAUCUCUAACCUUCCCCAAGUUGCUUUCCACUCAAAUCAUCUUUCUACCAAAUCCAAUCAUAUGAAAGAGAGUUGAGUGUUGGGGAGACUACCAUUUGAAGCACAAUAGUAAGGAGUCCAUCAUCAACACACCAUCUAUUACAUUUUGGAGAGUGGUGUCUCCUAGAUUGGUUAGGUGUCACUUGGGAGCCUCCGUCAAGAUUGUGGAGUUGAACCAAGGAGUUUGUACAGGCAAGGAGAUCGCCUACUUCGUGAAGAUCUACCCUAGUGAGGCAAGUCCUUUGUGGGCGAUGGCCAUGAUGGGAUAGACAAGGUUGCUUUUUCGUGGACCCUUCGUGGGUGGAGCCCUCCGUGGACUCACGCAACUGUUACCCUUCAUGGGUUGAAGUCUCCAUCAACGUGGAUGUACGAUAGCAUCACCUAUCGGAACCACACCAAAAAUCUCCGCGUCUACAUUGCGUUUACUUUCUCCAAACUCCUCCCUUUACCUUUAUAUGCAAUUGUUUUACAUUCCGCUGCUAUACUCUUAGAAUUGCAUGUGUAGAUUGAUUACUUGAAUUGUGCUAAGUUGCUAAAAUCUGCCAAGACUUAAAACUGGAAAAAUUCUAGAUUUUUAUUUGGUCAAGUAGUCUAAUCACCUCUCUCUAGACAUACUUUCGAUCCUACAAAGCCCCAAAGGGGCUGGGGAUUAUUGGGGAUUUGGUGAACCCCUCCCCCGCACCAAAUCCCCUCAAAUCCCCUUCCGCCUCCCAAGCCCCUUCCACAUCUAUCCAUAUAUGAGUGUUUCGCAUGCAGGGACAAAUUUGGUCCAUUUUUAACAUGAACUUCAACAACACACCGAUAAAAAUCCGAUCUUUACUACUGAACAUGCUGAAGCAUCAGUGGCCAUAUCAUCAAGUACUACUAAAACCAACAAAUCAUAAUCUUUAAGAUCAAUGGCAUCUAAACUAAGAACAUCAAAGGCCAUAUAACACGAUCAGAUCAUAGUUUAAACAUCAUAUGUCAAACACAGGCAUGCAUCAGCAUGUACCAACAACACCUAGGGUGCAACACAAA
rnacentral:lncRNA from 1 species